CAGUCGCCGCGGUAAAACGUAGGGUGCAAGCGUUAAUCGGAAUUACUGGGCGUAAAGCGUGCGCAGGCGGUUAUAUAAGACAGAUGUGAAAUCCCCGGGCUCAACCUGGGAACUGCAUUUGUGACUGUAUAGCUAGAGUACGGCAGAGGGGGAUGGAAUUCCGCGUGUAGCAGUGAAAUGCGUAGAUAUGCGGAGGAACACCGAUGGCGAAGGCAAUCCCCUGGGCCUGUACUGACGCUCAUGCACGAAAGCGUGGGGAGCAAACAGGAUUAGAUACCCGCGUAGUCCCUGUCUCUUAUAA
rnacentral:rRNA from 1 species